AGUUUGAUCCUGGCUCAGGAUGAACGCUGACAGAAUGCUUAACACAUGCAAGUCUACUUGAACUUCGGUUUGGGUGGCGGACGGGUGAGUAACGCGUAAAGAACUUGCCUCACAGAUAGGGACAACAUUUGGAAACGAAUGCUAAUACCUGAUAUUAUGAUUUUAGGGCAUCCUAGAAUUAUGAAAGCUAUAUGCGCUGUGAGAGAGCUUUGCGUCCCAUUAGCUAGUUGGAGAGGUAACGGCUCACCAAGGCGAUGAUGGGUAGCCGGCCUGAGAGGGUGAACGGCCACAAGGGGACUGAGACACGGCCCUUACUCCUACGGGAGGCAGCAGUGGGGAAUAUUGGACAAUGGACCAAGAGUCUGAUCCAGCAAUUCUGUGUGCACGAUGAAGUUUUUCGGAAUGUAAAGUGCUUUCAGUUGGGAAGAAAAAAAUGACGGUACCAACAGAAGAAGUGACGGCUAAAUACGUGCCAGCAGCCGCGGUAAUACGUAUGUCACAAGCGUUAUCCGGAUUUAUUGGGCGUAAAGCGCGUCUAGGUGGUUAUGUAAGUCUGAUGUGAAAAUGCAGGGCUCAACUCUGUAUUGCGUUGGAAACUGUGUAACUAGAGUACUGGAGAGGUAAGCGGAACUACAAGUGUAGAGGUGAAAUUCGUAGAUAUUUGUAGGAAUGCCGAUGGGGAAGCCAGCUUACUGGACAGAUACUGACGCUAAAGCGCGAAAGCGUGGGUAGCAAACAGGAUUAGAUACCCUGGUAGUCCACGCCGUAAACGAUGAUUACUAGGUGUUGGGGGUCGAACCUCAGCGCCCAAGCAAACGCGAUAAGUAAUCCGCCUGGGGAGUACGUACGCAAGUAUGAAACUCAAAGGAAUUGACGGGGACCCGCACAAGCGGUGGAGCAUGUGGUUUA
rnacentral:rRNA from 1 species